CUUCAAGGCAGGGUGAGAUUCCCGACCGGCGGUAUAGUCCGCAACCCGCACAAAGUGCGGCUGAUCCGGUGUGAUCCCGGAACCGACAGUAUAGUCUGGAUGAGAGAAGGA
rnacentral:ncRNA from 1 species